rnacentral:rRNA from 1 species
AUGAACGCUGGCGGCGUGCCUAAUACAUGCAAGUCGAGCGAACGGACGAGAAGCUUGCUUUUCUGAUGUUAGCGGCGGACGGGUGAGUAACACGUGGAUAACCUACCUAUAAGACUGGGAUAACUUCGGGAAACCGGAGCUAAUACCGGAUAAUAUUUUGAACCGCAUGGUUCAAAAGUGAAAGACGGUCUUGCUGUCACUUAUAGAUGGAUCCGCGCUGCAUUAGCUAGUUGGUAAGGUAACGGCUUACCAAGGCAACGAUGCAUAGCCGACCUGAGAGGGUGAUCGGCCACACUGGAACUGAGACACGGUCCAGACUCCUACGGGAGGCAGCAGUAGGGAAUCUUCCGCAAAGGGCGAAAGCCUGACGGAGCAACGCCGCGCGAGUGAUGAAGGUCUUCGGAUCGUAAAACUCUGUUAUUAGGGAAGAACAUAUGUGUAAGUAACUGUGCACAUCUUGACGGUACCUAAUCAGAAAGCCACGGCUAACUACGUG